GUAGGGGGCGAGCGUUGUCCGGAUUUAUUGGGCGUAAAGAGCUCGUAGGCGGUUCCGCAAGUCGGAUAUGAAAUCUCCACGCUCAACGUGGAGGGGUUAUUCGAUACUGCGGUGACUAGAGUCCGGUAGGGGAGUGUGGAAUUCCCGGUGUAGCGGUGAAAUGCGCAGAGAUCGGGAGGAACACCCGUAGCGAAGGCGGCACUCUGGGCCGUGACUGACGCUGAGGAGCGAAAGCGUGGGUAGCGAACAGGAUUAGAUACCCUGGUAGUCCACGCCGUAAACGUUGGGCACUAGGUGUGGGACUCUAUCGACGGGUUCCGUGCCGCAGCUAACGCAUUAAGUGCCCCGCCUGGGGAGUACGGCCGCAAGGCUA
rnacentral:rRNA from 1 species